AAAUAUUUCAACUUGAGUAGAACAAUGAUGUUUGCAACUAUUUAUUUAGUGCACCAAGUCUCUCCUCUUUCAUAGUCUUUCUGUAUCGAUCUACUAUAGAUAAAUGUAUAGAUCCAGUAUAUACAAUUACCACCUUCCACGUACGAAUUGGGGAAAACAGCAAUUCACUUAUCACUCGGUAUCGGAAUGGAACUCUUUACGUAUUGAACUGAAACAAUCUACUAAUCUUAAUCUCAUUAAAUCAAAACUAAAACAAUUUAUCUAAUUAAGUUGAACAAUUUAUCUAAUUAAGUUGAGUUUUUUCUAACUAUGAAGUAUAAUUAUAUAUAAUCCAGUUGUAAAUAUUUUAUAGUUUUUAAAUAAGCAUAGACGUAUAGUUUACGAAUACCAUGUAUAAUAUAGAUAUAUAUUACAGGACCUCCCUGAAAAACACUUCGGUGAGUGGAGCUUCCUGAAUAAAUAUUAUUAUUAUUGCUGCCGAGCGUAGCGAGGCAGCACACUAUUCUUAACACGCGGUGGUUUCUCCAGAGUCCACUCGACCCAGUCUUUCGCGAAAUCUAUGUAUUGUCGAAAUCUCGAUCUUGUGUCUGUCGGGAUUUCGAAUUUCCGGGGAAAUAAUUAAGCUCUGGUACCUUAAUUAUUUUGAGGGGGGAGGUCGAGAUAGUUUUUCUAUUGCGCAUCCAUGUUUUCUUCAAUGUGCUCGAGAACAAGACGACAAGUCAAGACUCAAGGUUUUUAAAAACGAACGGCAAACGAUGGAAAAUAUUCAGAAAAAUCAGGUAGGUAUGGCUUUAUUUCUUUCUGCUUAUAUACAUUAAGGCGAUGACCUUUUUAGUGCCCAAUCUAGAGGCAAACAGUGUGCUUUCAUGAGUUUAUCGGCAAUUUUAACAGCCGAAAAUAUGCCACUGAAUUGAUCGAUUGGUCAAAAACAACAUUUAACAAUGUCUUAUUACAAGAGGACAAAAUGUACUUAAGAGCUCUGAAUAACGGCUUAAUUGUCUUAGAACCAAGUAUUGAGUUCUUGUCUGUAGAUAACUUACCAAAAGUUGUCAGUGUUUCAUGUUGUAGGAACAUGUUUUUGUACGAGAUUGAUCUGAUGUCACAAACAAGUAGUGCACAAAGUAUAAACAUUAAUCUGCCCAUUGUGGUGGAAAGUAACAUUGAUUUACCCAUUGUGGUAGAGGCCGUAGAGCCCAUUGACGCACAAAAGAAAAGCGAUCUGCCCAUUGUGGUAGAGCUUAUUGAGGCAAAAAUUAUUGAUCUGCCCAUUGUGGUAGAGCCCAUUGAGGCAAAAACUAUUGAUCUGCCCAUUGCGGUAGAGCCCAUUGAGGCAAAAAUUAUUGAUCUACCCAUUGUGGUAGAGCCCAUUAAGGCACAAAACAAAAGUGAUCUGCCCAUUGUGGUAGAGCCCAUUGAGGCACAAUAUAACAUUGUCAUAGAUUUGCCCAUUGUGGUAGAGCCUAUUGAGGCAAAAACUAUUGAUCUGCCCAUUGCGGUAGAGCCCAUUGAGGCAAAAACAAUAGAUCUACCCAUUGUGGUAGAGCGCAUUGAUUAUAUUCCACUGUUGCCAGGGAU
rnacentral:lncRNA from 1 species